GAACAGAGUACUUCUUGCACCUUCCCCCCAACCACACCCCACCUCCCCCACUCACACGUGGCUGGGUCCACCCGCCCAAGGAGCCACUGGGCACAGACUCCGGUCAACAUCCUGCUUCCUGCAGGGCCCUCCCGGGAGGCCCGGCCAGGGAGGGCACACAGAGGGGUGUUUGUUCGCAGUGGGCGGCGGGGAGAGAUGCUAAUCGCUGCGGAUCGCUGGGCCUGCUGAAGGUCAGGAGGUAACGCGACCCGCGGUUAUAAAUAACCGCGCCUGGCGGCGGCUGAGAACCACUCGCUGGAUCUGCGCCCCUCGCAGGCCCGCGGGCACGGAUUGAUUACUGCCCUCCCCAGCCCGGCCUGCGGGAACCUGAACCCCGAGACAGCCGCAGCGCAGUGACCUUUGGGGGUGGCGCGCAAGGAGUCCAGUGACUUCAUGCUGUCACCUCCCGCAGGCCAGAGAUGCCGCCCUUGAGGACAGGCAGCAGCCCUGAUGACUGUGGCCAGGGCCUAGAGGCUGGGAGCUAAGGAGAAGGUCGAUGUGGCUCCCAGGACCCACCCUGGAGCGCGCCUCCCCUGGUGGGAAAGCCCAGUCUCCACCUGGGGCAUGUCCAUCCCUGGCCCCAGAGGCUCAUGGGAAAUCCUGGCACUGCAGAAAGCAAAGCCCAGGGUUCUCCAAUGCCCUCAUGUAGCCCCUGCUCCACUUGGCGGGCUUUGGGGCCAGGGGCUCUCCAGGCCUCCUCCCUGCCCUGGUGGAGAAAAAAAUACACUAGCCGAGGACUGGCGUUGUAGCCCAGCUGGUGGAUCAUUUGCCUGGCAUGUGUGAGGCACUGGGUCCGAUCCUCGGCACUACACAAAAAUGAAUAAAUUAACCAAAGGUA